ACAGGUGCUGCAUGGCUGUCGUCAGCUCGUGUCGUGAGAUGUUGGGUUAAGUCCCGUAACGAGCGCAACCCUUGUCCUUAGUUACCAGCACGUUAUGGUGGGCACUCUAAGGAGACUGCCGGUGACAAACCGGGGAAGGUGGGGAGUGACGUCAAGUCAUCAUGGCCCUUACGGCCUGGGCUACACACGUGCUACAAUGGUCGGUACAAAGGGUUGCCAAGCCGCGAGGUGGAGCUAAUCCCAUAAAACCGAUCGUAGUCCGGAUCGCAGUCUGCAACUCGACUGCGUGAAGUCGGAAUCGCUAGUAAUCGCGCAUCAGCCAUGGCGCGGUGAAUACGUUCCCGGGCCUU
rnacentral:rRNA from 1 species